AGAAUAGAGCAGAAUCGAGGGCUGCUCUGGCAAGGGCAGAAUGUGGCCUCAUGUCUGGGGUGUGCAGUAUCUUCAGACGUGUAACAGUUUCAAGCAUAACGACUCCUUGGUUAUGAAGAUUUACGGAUGCAGACCAUUUUACUUCUUUGGCAAAGACCAAGUUUAAGCAUCCCAAGGUACUGAAACAUACCAGCCAUUGGAAGUUACUGUCCCUUGAGCCAUCAUAGUAGCUUCCGUCCACAGUGGAGAGACCGACCUGUCAUCUCCAGGCUGGAGAUGAUAGGUCUCUCGUUCUGUGAAUGAACUCUGUCUUCUGCAAAAUGCAAUAUUUUCCCUGUUUUAUUCUAUACACAGAUAUGGUCAGCUAUACAAACAUGUUUCAGCAUCUCUGUAUCAUCCUCAGUGGGUCUCAUUUUAUUUCUGUAAAAUACAUCAAAACAUGUUUGGCUAAAUAAUAAAAAGGAAGAAUGUUGUGUUUUGCAGAAGGUGGAGUCUUAAAAACUCAAAUUGAAUUUUUAAAUGUGCAAAAGCAGCAACAUGAGCUUCCAGCCACAGCAAGAUGAUGAUGCUAGAAAAAUUGGAAUGUGACGAGAAGAUAGUAGAUGAGAUUUUAUGCAGCAAGUGCUAACUCAUGUGUUCGAUAAGGCUGAAGAUCCCUGGUAGGGAUGUAUAAGCAUUUCAGAUGAAACUGUGAAAACAUAGGAUUAAUCUCAGUGGCAUGAGAAAUUUGAAUUGCCUGGAGAUACGGCAUGGUGCUACUUACUUCAGGAUGUGAUCAAGAAGAAAGGUAAUUAUCCAGAAAACAGGUUAGGAGAUAAGUGGAGGCUUUGCAAUAAUCUUGGAGUGCAGGGGAGGGGGAGGGAAGUGGGGAGUAAAUAAAGCAGGAGUCAGUGAAGUAUUAAUAAAUUUGAAGUUCAUUUGUGAUGAUUAAAAAUGUUUAUUUUUUAUGAGAUAAAGUAAAUAUUCAGAGAAGUUGUCACAUAACUGCACUGAGCGAGGUGGUGCAGUGGUUAGGACAUUGGACACGCAUUUGGGAGGAUGGCAGUUCAAACUAGCAUCCAACCAUCCUGAUUUAGGUUUUCCAUGAUCACCCAAAUCACUUCAGCUAAAUGCCAGGAUGGUUCCUAUGAAAGGGCAUGGCCGACUUCCUUCCCGUCCUUCCCAAUUCAGUGGGACUGAUGAACUCGGCCGGGAUGGUUCCUGUGAAUGGGCAUAGCCGACUUCCUUCCCUGUCCUUUCAAUGGGACUGUUGAACUCGCUGUUUGGUCCCGUCCCCUAACUCAGCCAACCAGCCACAUAACAGCCCACUUUGACAUCCAUUGAGUCGUAUCCCUCACUAUUUCUCAGAAUCUAAAAUCAUGUGCUAACUUUUAAAUACGUGUCUUUCAUGAGAAAUUCUUUCAUGCCAAAACCCAAACUUUCAUCAGUGUGUCUGAAAAAUAGGGUAAAAGAAAGUCAGUAGUGAAAGAGUUGGAUGCAGAAGAAUUGGAAGAGAUACUACUGCUGAAAAAAUAUGCUGCCAUUGGAAAAAGAUGCAACAAAAUCACAGUUGGCAGUGUUUAUUUCACACUUUAUUUCUAUGAUAAGCCAUUUAUAACUGUUGAAAUAAUAAAAAAUUCAAGGUGCAGCACCUAAAAAUCUUAAGUCUAAUCAUAAUACAUACACACAUAAUACAUCAUAAUUGAUUAUGUACUUGCAUUUACUGCUCAGGAUAGCUUCCUUAUUAGAAAUGUGCUGACUCUUUUUGGAGCAAACGUUAUUGUUAUAUUCCCUCUUAUUAUGUGCCUUUAAACUGUAAAAUGUAAGAAUUUAUUAACUGACAUUAUAAAUCUCUAAAUUUAAUGUAGAAUCAUUUGUCUGAGAAAUUUUGUUUGCAUAAAUUUACAUGUUUUUAUGUCUUUUUUUGUUUACUUACAACAUCCAUAUUCUGGCCCUGAGAACAAGCAGUGCUGACUGGCUGCAGGGUCAUCCUGUGUCAAUGGUGUCAUUUGGAUGCAGUAUGGGGGGACAUGGAGUCAGCGUAAAACCUUUGCUGCUAUUAUCUGCUUUCCAGACCUUGGAGCCGCUACUUUUCAUUCAAUCAGUUGGUAUUAUUAGGCUAAGUGCAUCUAGUUCCAGUCCUAGCAAGGUAAAAUCCUAGCAGUAGCACAAAUUCAAGCCAGGUCUUCCACAUAUCAGUUGCUCACCAAACACUCGGCUAGGGAGGUAGACCUUGUAUAUACAAGCACACUAUUCUCGUUAGACUGAGAGUUCCUUUAUACACACAGAAGUUCUACAUUCCCAAUUCUUCAGUUGAGUCUGUUGUCACUAUGCAGGAAGCAUACACAAAAAAAGAAUUGAUCCUUGUUGUGAACCAUGAGUUAUGCCGUUCUUGAUCAGCUGCAAAUUAGAGCACAUGUUUACACUAAAGCUUUUUUCCCCAUCCUACAUACAAUUUCAAGUCGUCGUGUGCUUGGUUGUGUGUUCCAGAGUAUUACACUUUUGUUUAGAUUGGUGUGGCAAUGGCAAAUAGAGGUAAAAGGUUUUUGAAAGAUCCUGAAACAAAUUAUAUGUUUUUCAUUGCUCGUCUAAUAUCCAAUUUAUGAGAGCUGCAAAUUUAAUUAAUGCUGCGAUAGUAGAUCCAUUUCUUGUUACCUUUUUUAUAUACAGACACAUCCUUACACUUGAGCCAUUUGAAAAUAAUCCUCACUUUAUUGUUGAAUUUAUCAAAACAGUUUUUGUGUUCAUGUCAAUAAGAGAAACUUUUUAUCAGCAUUGUAGAUACAUCUUCUAAAUGCACAUUUUCUUACAUUAGUUUCAUUUUUAUGGCACGAAAGACAAAACUGAAGAGAAUUGCAGAUAAGAAUAACAUUAAUUGAGAGAUAAAACCAGUUACUGAUCUGAUACUUUUUGUGCAGCAGCUAAUAGGAAGAUUGUGUAAGUAUUUGAAAGAAGUGGUGUUAAGAACAUAAAGCAUGCUUAGCAAACCAUGAUUGACAAUACAAGGAAAAGUAAAACAUAAGAUUGGUACGUAUAAUGCCCCAUAAUGAUAAAAAUUGUGUUAGAGAUAAGUAAUCAUAUUUGAAAUAUUGUGCUGUGCAUUGUUUCCAUAACUGAAGUAUAUGAGAAGAAUGGUAAAGACUGCUUAAGAGAACAGAAGAUAACAGCUCUUGUUUAUCAUUAUGUCAGUCAUAUUGAGGGAUCCCUGUUGAUAUAAACAGCGGACUAGUGGAGGGGACAGAUGCAAUACAGGCAGCAGUUCAGAACAGUAACAUCAAAACCACUUUGACAGAGAAAGUUUGCAGUCUUGGAAAGAGGGGGGGGGGGGGGGGAGGUGGACUAAGAAAAUAGGUUCUGUUGAGUUCUCUUUAAGAUCUGGAUUUCAGGAGACUUAGUUCUUUUUUGAAGUCUGAAAAUUGCCCUUCUCCGUACAAACUAAGCUCAGAUGAAGAUUUUUAAUGCAAAUGUGAUGUACGUUACCACACGAUUUGAACAGUGUAUACAGAACAUCGCAAGUAAAGAGCAGGACAGAAUUAAAAUUUGAAAAUUCAUUAAUAGAGAUUGCUGCAUAAGUACCUGUAUGUAGAGAAAGACAGGAAAUAAUAUAUUGUGGCUAUAUGAAGCCACUGCUUUUGGGAAAUUCUACAGAAGUGUUUGCGCAGAUGCCUCAGUGAGAGCAUUGCCUGUACAGAUGUACAAGCUAAUGUUUUGGGAUGAUGAUAGCAAAAUAAAAGAAAGGUGUGUAUUACAAGAGGAGCAAGUAAGUAGGAGUUAAAUAUCCUGGGCAGUGAACAAAUAAAGUGUGUUUCAAAAUGAAUAUAUGGGUGUUAAGGCUUUGUAGCAUUUAUUACGUUUACCUUACAAAUAUAAAUAAUACAGUAAAUGAAAGAGCAACUCAAACGAUUUUGUUUGUGUGCCUGUACACAAAGGGAAGAGACUGGAACGACCAAAAGUAACCGAAGGACGUGCUGAACGAGUGAGAGCUGUUCACGCAUAGCACCAAGAAAUCAGCUUGGAUGUCUAGUUGUGAUUUAGCAUUUCCAGUGAUGUGUCUGUGGAGACCUUUAAGGAGACACUUAUAACUACGUCCUUAUCGUCUUUAGUUCUUACAAGCUGUAAAAAGCCUACAGCAUACAGUUUUUGUGUCAACGUUGCAAAGAAACGUUGCUGCAUGACGAUGAAGAUAUUGUGGAUUGUGCGGUCUUCAGUGAUGACUUGACAUUUCACCUAAGUGAAUACUUGUAAGAAAAACUGUUCCAGCUGCCCUUUCAUUUGAUGUAUUAUUUAUAACUGUAAGUUGAAUGUAAUAAAUGCUAUAAAGCCUUAGAACCCAUACAUUCGUUUUGAAACACGCUGUGUAUUCCAUGAAACAAUACUUUUGUGAAAUUUAUCACAAAUGGUUAAGAGUAAAGAAAAUUCUUAAUGUUUAUAUUAAUGAGUCAACAGUGUUAGGACAAAGUGCAGCAGGUAAGCAUUCAUUUCAUGUAAAGAGAUACCUCCUCUCAGUGAGCACAGUUCUACUCAGGAAGGUUUCCCUAUCUCCCCCCCCC